rfam:Nomascus leucogenys chromosome 10, whole genome shotgun sequence.
GGGAAAUGGGCAAAGGGGCCAGCCUCAGGCCCCGCAACAAACUGGGGCA